UAAAAAAAUAGUAUGGUUUCAAUCUUGCUUUCGUGUUUACCGUGAAUUUUUCAACAGCUCUCUGUUAGUUACUUUCAAUCUUGUACAGAAAUGUACAUAGGAGCUCAUGAAAGAAGAGCUUUAGGUUUUGCAAAGGUGUUUGCAACAUUAGAUAAAUGUUUGCUUUUGAGAUGUGUUUGUGAUAUUUUGAAUGCAGUGCUUCAUUUUGCAAGAGAUGUGAGGCAUUUUACAUUUUGUGUGUGCAAUUCUUGGAUUUGUGUGUAAAGUUUUGAAGAAAAAAAAAAAAGAGGCAAAGUUUUGAAAAUGUGUGUAAGCAGUUAGAAAAAAAAAGAAGAAGUAAAACCCCUAAAUAUUAUUCUUUUUUUAAAUCCCCUUUCCCCCUUGAUUUAUAUUGACAUUUUUUUUUUUUUUUUCACUUGUGUAACAUGUCUGUCCCCUUUGCUUUAAAUGUAUAAAGAAGGGAGCCAAUCACUUAAAAAGUCUUUCACAACAGGAAACGCUGUGACAACCUAUAGCUUUUACAUACACAAACAUGUCUAUCAAGAGAUAAUAUAUUUAACAAGAUGGACAAUAUUCUAAUCCACUUUAAUAAAACACUAAAAUCAUUCUUGAGUUUUGUCUUUUAUUAGAUAAUUGUCUUCUAUUGAUCAAGUUAACCUAUCAAUGUUGACUGAACAUGCAGCGUGCAACAGGAAGAAAGCCAGACCACUAUGUCCGUAAGCUUCAGGAAGUUGAAUAAUAAACACCUUAUGACUCACAUUAUUUGCAGUGUGAAGUGACAUCACAUGCGUGCCUUUGUGUUGAAAGCUUCAAGUGCAUGCUGUUGAAACUACUGAAAAUGACAAAGGAUGGAAAACUGAGAUUGCAUUAAGGUAUGAUGUAUAAUUGUAAACUGUUAGGAAUAUUGUUUUUCAUUAAAGAAACAAGUAAAAUCCAUAAAACAAGAUGCAUUUGCAAAAUUGUGGAAUUUAUAUAAGAAUUCUGUCUUGUUUUAAGGAUAUUUAUACAGGGAAACAAUAAAAAAUGCUUUUCAAGAGAAUUUUUUCCCCUUUUAUCUGAAGAAAUCAGUGAAAUUGUAUUUUUUUUUUAAACUUCUAACAAUUAUUUGAGCAUAUUAAGUUAAUUUAAAUUGAUAAACAUUGUUUUGAACAUAAAUCACCGUAUAAUAAUGUUUUAAUAGAGUUUGCAUGUUUAUGCACAUAAGGGGAAAAAAAGAAAAAAAAAAGAACUUCCCAGUGCUAGUUUAGGCUGGCGCUGUACCAUUUACAAAGUAUGAUGAUGAAAGUGUUGAAACAGAGAAAUGGAGGAGGAAAUACAGAAUUGGUGAAACAUUCAGUAAACUGACCUCUGACUUUUUCUUCUUUUUUAAAAACUAUGUUUUGUUCACAGGUGAUGCCACAUUAUCUUAAAUUUCACACUUUUUACUCUCACCUCUUGAAAACUUGUUCUUGUUCAUUUUUAAUUUUCCUACAUUCAAGCCGUCAAAAUCCAUUCUUUCUAAAUCAACGAUAUGAAUGCUGCUGGGAAACUGAAGAUGGCUAGACAAGAUAGCGAUGAGAUGACUGUGGUUAUAUUUGCUAGUACAGAUGCUAUAGACCUACCACAUGACAUUAGAACAAAGUUAGAUGACUUAAACCAUCCCGAAGAGGAACAGAGACAACAAAUACGAAGUGAUUCUAAGGAGAAAAGAAGCUACGGGCCCACAGCGGUGUGUUUGGGGCUGUUAUGCAUUCUUCUGCUGGUGGCCAUCACAGUGCUGUAUAUAAAGUUCACAUGGGAAAACAACCUGUUUCAAACCGAGAAUGAGGCAAACUAUUGGCUAAGUCUGAGUAAAAACUUGACAGAAGAGAGAGAAGAAUUAAGGAAGGACUUGGCCAAACUCCAGGCCAGGCUUUACGAACACGAUCAUUGCUCUGCAAACCCUAAAUGGAUAACGAACAACUUCAGUUCUUACUACAUUUCCUCCGAGUGGAAGAACUGGACUGACAGCAGACAAGACUGUUUGCAGAGAGGUGCAGAUUUGAUGAUCAUAAACAACAG